rnacentral:rRNA from 1 species
UUUUGCCUACGGGGGGCCGCAGUGGGGGAUAUUGCACAAUGGGGGAAACCCUGAUGCAGCGCCGCCGCGUGAGUGAAGAAGUAUUUCGGUAUGUAAAGCUCUAUCAGCAGGGACGAAAAUGACGGUACCUGAGUAAGAAGCCCCGGCUAACUACGUGCCAGCAGCCGCGGUAAUACGUAGGGGGCAAGCGUUAUCCGGAUUUACUGGGUGUAAAGGGAGCGUAGACGGUUAUGCAAGUCUGGAGUGGAAGGCGGGGGCUCAACCCCCGGACUGCUCUGGAAACUGUA